rnacentral:tRNA from 8 species
GGAGGCGUCGCAUAGUGGCCUAGUGCGCCCGCCUGCUAAGCGGGUUGAGGAUAAAACCUCUCGCGGGUUCAAAUCCCGCCGCCUCCGCCA